rnacentral:rRNA from 1 species
AGCGAAUAGAUACCCUGGUAGUCCACGCCCUAAACGAUGUCCGACUGGUUGUUGGGGGUUUGACACUCUCAGUAAACGAAAGCUAAACGCGUGAAGUCGACCGCCUGGGGAGUACGGCCGCAAGGUUAAAACUCAAAGGAAUUGACGGGGACCCGCACAAGCGGCGGAUUAUGUGGAUUAAUUCGAUGCAACGCGAAAAACCUUACCUACCCUUGACAUGUCCGGAAGGCUGCUGAAAGGCGGCUGUGCCCGAAAGGGAACUGGAACACAGGUGCUGCAUGGCUGUCGUCAGCUCGUGUCGUGAGAUGUUGGGUUAAGUCCCGCAACGAGCGCAACCC